rnacentral:misc_RNA from 1 species
ACGCCACUAACAGAUCCAAUCAACAAUCUAUGAGUAGAAGCAUCUGGGACCCAACCCUUCUCCAACAUCAAAUCCAAUAAUCGACGUGCCUCGUUCCUAUGGCCCUCUUUCCAGAGACCAGUAACCAGUAUGUUGUACAUUGCUGAAUCAAGAACUUGUGAAUCAGGAACAAGAUUGUCAAUUGUUGUUAAAAUCAGAUACAGCUGUGAAUGAUUGGCUAAGCAUAAUAAUAGAUUAUGCAGUACGUCUGCAUCAGGUAUUAAACCCUCUUUAACCAUGGUAUUGAAAAAUAAAGCAGAGUCCUUUAUUCGAUUCUGCUCAAUCAUGCUUUGUAUCAGAAUGCAAUAUGCUCCUGAAUCUGCAUUGCAGCCCUUAACCAGCAUUUGUGAGAGAAAUUCUAGAAGAUUUCUUCCCUUGUCUGAUUUAGACAAGCCAAGCAGAAUAUAAUUGUAAGUGGCAUUAGCACAAG